UCGAGAAUUUUUCUCAAUGGGGGAAACCCUGAAGGAGCGACGCCGCGUGGAGGAUGAAGGGCCUCGGUCCGUAAACUCCUGUCACCCCAGAACAAGGGUUGCAACCCAAUACGUUGCAGCUUGAUGGUAUGGGGAGAGGAAGGCACGGCUAACUCUGUGCCAGCAGCCGCGGUAAUACAGAGGUGCCAAGCGUUGUUCGGAUUUACUGGGCGUAAAGGGUGCGUAGGUGGUUCAACAAGUCAAAUGUGAAAUCCUGCAGCUCAACUGCAGAACUGCAUUUGAAACUGUUGAACUAGAGGACUAGAGAGGAAAUCGGAAUUCUCGGUGUAGCAGUGAAAUGCGUAGAUAUCGAGAGGAACACCAGUGGCGAAAGCGGAUUUCUGGAUAGUAUCUGACACUGAGGCACGAAAGCUAGGGGAGCGAACGGGAUUAGAUACCCCCGUAGUCC
rnacentral:rRNA from 1 species